rnacentral:rRNA from 1 species
AGUUGCUAACAGCUCGGCUGAGCACUCUAAACAGACUGCCUUCGUAAGGAGGAGGAAGGUGUGGACGACGUCAAGUCAUCAUGGCCCUUAUGUCCAGGGCGACACACGUGCUACAAUGACAUAUACAAUAAGACGCAAUAUCGCAAGAUGGAGCAAAUCUAUAAAAUAUGUCCCAGUUCGGAUUGGGGUCUGCAACUCGACCCCAUGAAGCCGGAAUCGCUAGUAAUCGUAGAUCAGCCAUGCUACGGUGAAUAC